UGGCGGACGGGUGAGUAACACGUGAGUAACCUGCCCUUGACUCUGGGAUAAGCCUGGGAAACUGGGUCUAAUACCGGAUAUGACUCCUCAUCGCAUGGUGGGGGGUGGAAAGCUUUUGUGGUUUUGGAUGGACUCGCGGCCUAUCAGCUUGUUGGUGGGGUAGUGGCUUACCAAGGCUUUGACGGGUAGCCGGCCUGAGAGGGUGACCGGCCACAUUGGGACUGAGAUACGGCCCAGACUCCUACGGGAGGCAGCAGUGGGGAAUAUUGCACAAUGGGCGGAAGCCUGAUGCAGCAACGCCGCGUGCGGGAUGACGGCCUUCGGGUUGUAAACCGCUUUCGCCUGUAACGAAGCGUGAGUGACGGUAAUGGGUAAAGAAGCACCGGCUAACUACGUGCCAGCAGCCGCGGUAAU
rnacentral:rRNA from 1 species